AAAAAAAAAUUCAAUGGAGGAAAGGGUUAAGGGAGCUGGCUUCUCAGUUUCAAAGUAAUUAACUUUCAAAACACUAGCAUAUAUUGAUUGGGGAUUAAUAAAGGAAUCAAAAGAGCAAAAAAAAUAUAUAGGUCACCGUGCUUGUUUUCGAGAUAUUAGCCAUUGAAAUUUUUGCGGGAAAAUGUUCUCUCUUGACUUUUCUUAGCUUUAUCAUUGACAAGUUUAAGUCUUCAAAAACUAUUAAAAAGUAAUUAAAAUUUUAUAAGACUUAUCAUUAUACAUGUAAAAGAAUUAUAAAAAGAAAAAUGGGGGUCACCCGGCAAAUUUUGUGAAGGCAUUCAAAUGGAUAAAACCAGAGGAUUCCGUAAAUCUUACCAAAAUUCCAAAACAUGACAAGCGAGCUUCCUUAAGCUCUCUUUCAUGAUAUUUUAGAAAAAUCAUCUAACUUUAUCCUUAAAUUGCAUGAAAUUUUUUCUGCUUGAUGUUGACCAACAAUUGUUCAUUCAAUCUUGUCUAUCUCUCUCAUAUAGCAUUUAAUAAGGAAUAUCUUAUUUAUAGAACACUGCUAUAUUUUUGUAACUUUUUUUUUACUGAAAGUGCUAGCAGAUAUAUCCUUGUAUAACUUAGUAAAAGCAGAUUAUAAAUUUAGAAAUUAAUACAAUGUUUUUUUUUAAUGUGAAAAAUGCUGCAGUACCAAAAUUUUCACUUGUAAUUUUAGAAGUGAUUUUUCUCUUAUCUUAUCAUAAAGUUUUUGCAAAAAGAAUUGAUUAGAAUUUGUGUUUUUUGCCAAUGGCCAAAGAUUUGCUAUAAUAAAUCCACAUAUUUAGAGUAAUUAAUUGCUGCACCACUCUUUUUUAAAAAUUCAUAUCAGUUUGGUGUAGUCGACAUUUUCAAAUACGUCCUAAUUUUUAACCUCUAUGUUUUUUGUUACAUAAAAAGUCAUCACAAUAUAUACUAGAUAAUUUAUUAUACUUGUGUUUUUCAUUCCGUCCAUUUUAUUAUACAUAUAUUUUUCAUUCUGUCCAUUCUAUUAUACAUAUAUUUUUCAUUCUGUCCACUUUAUUAUACAUGUAUUUUUUUUUGUUCCGUCCAUUUCAGGCAUUUUUAUUUUGUAGUGAAGGACACUAAAUGUUUGUUUAUUGAUUUAUGAAUUAUCAUACAUAGAUUGUGAAUAUGUUCACAUAAUUUAUAUAUUACACUAAUGUGCAAUUGUUUCAUAGUUGAUUAUGCAUUCAGUUUCAUUUCACAGUAUUGUUUAUGUAUUGUUAAAAGUUUAAAGUUUAUUGGACGAAGAAACAU
rnacentral:lncRNA from 1 species